GAAAGAGGGUGGGGGAGACAGGGAGACAGAGGAAAGAGGGAGACAGAGAGACAGAGGAAAGUGAAAGAGGGAGUGAGAGCGAGUAGAGAGAGAGAGGGUGUAGAGAGCGACAUGCGAGCGAGAGAGAAAUGCAGAGAGAACAAAAAGACAGUAAAGAAAGGAACAACAGACGACAGACAAAAGAGAAACGGAAACAUACAGAGACAAAUAGAGAAAGGGGAGGAAGAGAGAGUGGUAUUACGACAGGUUGUACCCACACACAGGUAAACAGUGACAACCUUCUGCAGAAUAUUUUUUUCUACCAACGUAUAUCUAGCCUUCAUUUCCCAUUCAUACAUGUCAUUAUAAAGGAGGAAGGGAUGUGGCCCAGUGU